rnacentral:rRNA from 1 species
GAUGAACGCUGGCGGCGUGCCUAAUACAUGCAAGUCGAGCGAACAGACGAGGAGCUUGCUCCUCUGACGUUAGCGGCGGACGGGUGAGUAACACGUGGAUAACCUACCUAUAAGACUGGGAUAACUUCGGGAAACCGGAGCUAAUACCGUAUAAUAUAUUGAACCGCAUGGUUCAAUAGUGAAAGACGGUUUUGCUGUCACUUAUAGAUGUAUCCGCGCCGCAUUAGCUAGUUGGUAAGGUAACGGCUUACCAAGGCAACGAUGCGUAGCCGACCUGAGAGGGUGAUCGGCCACACUGGAACUGAGACACGGUCCAGACUCCUACGGGAGGCAGCAGUAGGGAAUCUUCCGAAAUGGGCGAAAGCUUGACGGAGCAACGCCGCGUGAGUGAUGAAGGUCUUCGGAUCGUAAAACUCUGUUAUUAGGGAAGAACAAAUGUGUAAGUAACUAUGCACGUCUUGACGGUACCUAAUCAGAAAGCCACGGCUAACUACGUG